rnacentral:rRNA from 1 species
ACGCUCGACACCUACGGGGGCAGCAGUGAGGAAUAUUGGUCAAUGGACGCAAGUCUGAACCAGCCAUGCCGCGUGCAGGAUGACGGCUCUAUGAGUUGUAAACUGCUUUUGUACGAGGGUAAACGCAGAUACGUGUAUCUGUCUGAAAGUAUCGUACGAAUAAGGAUCGGCUAACUCCGUGCCAGCAGCCGACGGUAAUCUGAGGCGGGCGUGGCGAAGGC